AUUGAACGCUGGCGGCAGGCCUAACACAUGCAAGUAGAGCGGAGCGGCGAAAGGGUGAGUAAUGACUAGGAAUCAGCCUGGUAGUGGGGGACAACGUCCGGAAACGGGAGAUAAUACAGCAUACUAUCAGAUGAGCUUAGGUUGGAGUAGCAAGGUGGUGGGGUAAAGGCCUACCAAGGCGACGAUCAGUAACUGGUCUGAGAGGAUGAACAGUCACACUGAGACUGAGACACGGUCCAGACUCCUACGUGAGGCAGCAGUGGGGAAUAUUGGACAAUGGGCGAAAGCCUGAUCCAGCCAUGCCGCGUGUGUGAAGAAGUUCUUCGGAUUGUAAAGCACUUUAAGUUGGGAGGCGUUACCAACAGAAUAAGCACCGGCUAACUUCGUGCCAGCAGCCGCGGUAAUUC
rnacentral:rRNA from 1 species